rnacentral:ncRNA from 1 species
GAACGCCGUAUGUGGUGAAAGUCACGUGUACGGUGUGGAGCGGGGGAAAAUCUAGAGAUUAUUUCAAAGGAUUACCUAUCGCUAU